rnacentral:rRNA from 1 species
GAUGAACGCUAGCUACAGGCUUAACACAUGCAAGUCGAGGGACGGGCACACGGGUGAGUAACACGUAUCCAACCUUCACUUUACCCGGGGAUAGCCUUUCGAAUGAAAGACUAAUACUCGAUAUAAAGGAUGGGGAUGCGUUCCAUUAGGUUGUUGGUGAGGUAACGGCUCACCAAGCCUUCGAUGGAUAGGGGUGCUGUGAGGAAGGUCCCCCAGAUUUGAACUGAGAACCGGACCAAAGUGCUAGGGGAGGGAGCAGUAAGGGAUACUGGGGAAGAGGUUCUAGCCUGAACACGCCAAGUAGCGAGAAGGAUGAAGGCUUAGGGGUCGUAAGCUGUUGUUAUAUAAGAAUCGGUAUUAAAUGAAUAAGGCUCGGCUAACUCCGUGCCAGCAGCCGCGGUAAUAC